AACGAACGCUGGCGGCAUGCCUAACACAUGCAAGUCGAACGAGACCUUCGGGUCUAGUGGCGCACGGGUGCGUAACGCGUGGGAAUCUGCCCUUUGCUUCGGAAUAACAGUUAGAAAUGACUGCUAAUACCGGAUGAUGUCUUCGGACCAAAGAUUUAUCGGCAAAGGAUGAGCCCGCGUAGGAUUAGGUAGUUGGUGGGGUAAAGGCCUACCAAGCCGACGAUCCUUAGCUGGUCUGAGAGGAUGAUCAGCCACACUGGACUGAGACACGGCCCAGACUCCUACGGGAGGCAGCAGUGGGGAAUAUUGGACAAUGGGCGCAAGCCUGAUCCAGCAAUGCCGCGUGAGUGAUGAAGGCC
rnacentral:rRNA from 1 species